GAUGAACGCUGACGGCGUGCCUAAUACAUGCAAGUCGAGCGAACAGAUGAGGAGCUUGCUCCUCUGACGUUAGCGGCGGACGGGUGAGUAACACGUGGAUAACCUACCUAUAAGACUGGGAUAACUUCGGGAAACCGGAGCUAAUACCGGAUAAUAUAUUGAACCGCAUGGUUCAAUAGUGAAAGACGGUUUUGCUGUCACUUAUAGAUGGAUCCGCGCCGCAUUAGCUAGUUGGUAAGGUAACGGCUUACCAAGGCGACGAUGCGUAGCCGACCUGAGAGGGUGAUCGGCCACACUGGAACUGAGACACGGUCCAGACUCCUACGGGAGGCAGCAGUAGGGAAUCUUCCGCAAUGGGCGAAAGCCUGACGGAGCAACGCCGCGUGAGUGAUGAAGGUCUUCGGAUCGUAAAACUCUGUUAUUAGGGAAGAACAAAUGUGUAAGUAACUAUGCACGUCUUGACGGUACCUAAUCAGAAAGCCACGGCUAACUACGUG
rnacentral:rRNA from 1 species